rnacentral:tRNA from 2 species
GGGCGGGUAGCUCAGCGGGAGAGCAUCGGCCUUACAAGCCGGGGGUCACAGGUUCAAUCCCUGUUCCGCCUACCA